CCCUUAGAUGUUCUGGGCCGCACGCGCGCUACACUGAUGAACGCAACGAGACCACCUGUACCGAAAGGCAUGGGUAAACUUGUGAAAGUUCAUCGUGAUGGGGAUAGAUUAUUGCAAUUAUUAAUCUUCAACGAGGAAUUCCUAGUAAGCGCGAGUCAUAAGCUCGCGUUGAUUACGUCCCUGCCCUUUGUACACACCGCCCGUCGCUCCUACCGAUUGAAUGGUCCGGUGAAAUCUUCGGAUUGCUGGAUAGGACUUCAUUGACCUAUCUGCGAGAAGUUGCUUGAACCUUAUCAUUUAGAGGAAGGAGAANUCGUANCA
rnacentral:rRNA from 1 species